rnacentral:rRNA from 1 species
UAACACGUAGGAACGUACCCCAAACUGAGGGAUAAGCACCAGAAAUGGUGUCUAAUACCGCAUGUGCUCUUCGGAGUAAAGCUUCGGCGGUUUGGGAACGGCCUGCGCAUGAUUAGCUUGUUGGUGAGGUAAUGGCUCACCAAGGCGACGAUCAUUAGCUGGUCUGAGAGGAUGAUCAGCCAGACUGGGACUGAGACACGGCCCAG